rnacentral:rRNA from 1 species
UCAAGCGAGAGAGGGUUUACGGUGGAUGCCUUGGCGUAUUGAGGCGAAGAAGGCCGUGGCAAGCUGCGAAAAGCCGUGGGGAGGAGCACACAUCCUGAGAUCCGCGGAUAGCCGAAUGGGGUAACCCGGCGGGCGCGAGUCCGUCAUCCUGCCGCUGAAUACAUAGGCGGAGGAAGCGAUACUGGGGGAACUGAACCAUCUAAGUACCCCGGGAACAGAAAAUAACAAUGAUUCCGGAAGUAGCGGCGAGCGAAACUGGAGGAGCCUAAACCGCUCGAAAGAGCGGGGUUGUAGGGCCGCUGUCGCGUUAAACGCGGCGGAGUUGAGAGAAAACUGCGGUAUAGCGGAAAGGUUUUGGGAAAGCCUGACAAAGAGGGUGAAAUCCCCGUACGCGACAUAACGCGGACUCCGUGAGGCGGUACCUGAGUACGGCGGGGCACGAGAAACCCUGUCGGAAUCUGGGUCGACCACGAUCCAAGGCUAAAUACGAGAUACGACCGAUAGAGCAGAAGUACCGUGAGGGAAAGGCGAAAAGAACCCCGGCGAGGGGAGUGAAAUAGAACCUGAAACCGUAAACCCACAACAGGUCAGAGCCGGAAGCGAUUCUGGUGAUGGCGUGCCUUUUGUAGAAUGAGCCUGCGAGUUACGAUAGCGAGCGAGGUUAAGGAAUGGAAGUUCCGGAGCCGGAGGGAAACCGAGUGUUAAGAGCGCGGAUAAUAGUUCGUUGUCGUAGACCCGAAGCCAAGUGAUCUAGUUACGGGCAGGCUGAAGCUCAGGUAAAACUGAGUGGAGGGCCGAACCCUAGUGUGUUAAAAAAUACAGGGAUGACCCGUGACUCGGAGCGAAAGACUAAACAAACUUGGAAAUAGCUGGUUCUCCCCGAAAUGCCUUGAGGGACAGCCUUAUCAAAAUCAUGCGCAGGUAGAGCACUGGAUGGACUAGGGGGCUUCACCGCCUACCAAACCCAAUCAAACUCCGAAUGGCGCAAGACAACUGAUAGGAGUGAGACUGCGGGCGACAAGGUUCGUAGUCGAGAGGGAAACAGCCCAGACCGUCGGCUAAGGUCCCGAAUGUAUGCUAAGUGUGAAAUGAUGUGCCAUGGCGCAGACAGCCAGGAGGUUGGCUUAGAAGCAGCCAUUCCUUAAAAGAGUGCGUAAUAGCUCACUGGUCGAGUCAUGACGCGCAGACAAUGUAACGGGGCUAAGCAUACAACCGAAGCCACGGGUUCGUUCAGCGAUGGACGGACGGUAGGGGAGCAUUCCACGGACUGAUGAAGGCAUAUUGUAAAGUAUGCUGGAGGGGGUGGAAGAGAGAAUGCAGGUAUAAGUAGACGAAAAGAGGGGUGAGAUUCCCCUCCGCCGAAAGCCUAAGGAUUCCUGGGUAAAGGUCAUCUGCCCAGGGUAAGUCGGCCCCUAAGGCGAGGACGAAAGUCGUAGUCGAUGGGAAACUGGUUCAGAUUCCAGUACCUUGUACAGUUUUGAGGGGAUGACGCAUGAGGUGAAACCCGGCCGGGCGACGGUAGUCCCGGUCUAAGUCGCGAGUUAUUCUUCGGAUAGGCAAAUCCGUCUGGAGAGAUGAGCGGCGAGCGCGAGUGGAGCUACGGCGAAGCGAAGCGGGCGUAAUCAUGGUGCCAAGAAAUAAUCUCUAAAGUUAGGCUGUAUGAGACCGUACCGUAAACCGACACAGGUAGGCGGGAUGAGCAAUCUAAGGCGCUCGAGAGAACUCGCGUUAAGGAACUCGGCAAAAUGCGCACGUAACUUCGGGAGAAGUGCGGCCGUUGGUGGUUUAGCGAUAGGUUACCGACGGCGACACAAAGCAGUCCCAGGCGACUGUUUAUCAAAAACACAGGCCUCUGCAAAUCAGCAAUGAGACGUAUAGGGGCUGACACCUGCCCGGUGCCGGAAGGUUAAGGGGAGCGGUUAGGCGCAAGCCGAAGCUGUGAACCGAAGCCCCGGUAAACGGCGGCCGUAACUAUAACGGUCCUAAGGUAGCGAAAUUCCUUGUCGGGUAAGUUCCGACCCGCACGAAAGGUGUAACGAUCU